UUGAGAGAGCUGGUUUGUUUAGUGAAUUCAGUGAGCAAGAGCUGGUCUGACCCGUACUUUUAAAGGUGUAAACAUAUAAUAUAGCAUCCAAAUCAGUUUCAUUCAGUUUAUUUCUAUAGCACCAAAUCACAAAUCACAGUCGUUAGCUUCUGAUAUCAGACAAGAUCAGCUGAGCGUGCCGAACAUUGGUAUGGAGGAAAUAAAAAAUGCAAACCUGGAGUCAAAAAUUCACUGUGGUUCGUGGAAUUUUAAUUAUCUGUUUUCCUUUAACAAACCCUCAUCUGACGGUUAGCAAAACCAGUUUUAUCUGCUCUCUGGAACAAACCCAAGAUCAGUCCUAGUUCAGCCAUAACUCAAUGACCAGUCGACAUACAAUAAAACAAAAAUGUAAUUGUCUUUUCGAACAUACACCAGUUAGUGCACAAUGGUCCGCGGCCGGCGUCCGAGGAGCUGAUGGGAUACUCACGCCCACGGGCGUGGCUGUUAACUCUACACCUGCAUCUCAUCCCAGGCGAUUAUCAGGUGGACUAUUUGAUCCCGCUCAGCCUGCUGCUCCACGCCAGUCCGUAGUCGUCUCACAGCGAUAACAGCUUGGCGUGUUUUUUGAGCCACCUGCCUGUCCACCUGCCCGCCUGGAGUUUUUGAUCACCUUCAGUAUCCCUCACUUCGCCUUUCCUAGAGCUCCCCGCGGACCUUCACCCCUCCCUCCGGCUCUCACGGCCCCGCUUUGACUCCUCCCUCAGUCCCGUUUUCGGCGUUCCUUCGUGGCUCGUCUCCCGGUGACUUGGUUUCUCUAUUUUCACGUGUGUUUUCCUUAACCCUCCCGGGACACCUUUAGUUAGAAUAAAGUUUAUUUUCUCGCA